rnacentral:rRNA from 1 species
GACGAACGCUGGCGGCGUGCUUAACACAUGCAAGUCGAACGGAAAGGCCCUGCUUUUGUGGGGUGCUCGAGUGGCGAACGGGUGAGUAACACGUGAGUAACCUGCCCUUGACUUUGGGAUAACUUCAGGAAACUGGGGCUAAUACCGGAUAGGAGCUCCUGCUGCAUGGUGGGGGUUGGAAAGUUUCGGCGGUUGGGGAUGGACUCGCGGCUUAUCAGCUUGUUGGUGGGGUAGUGGCUUACCCAGGCUUUGACGGGUAGCCGGCCUGAGAGGGUGAACGGCCACAUUGGGACUGAGGUACGGCCCAGACUCGUACGGGAGGCAGCAGUGGGGAAUAUUGCACAAUGGGCGGAAGCCUGAUGCAGCAGCGCCGCGUGCGGGAUGACGGCCUUCGGGUUGUAAACCGCUUUCGCCUGUGACGAAGCGUGAGUGACGGUAAUGGGUAAAGAAGCACCGGCUAACUACGUG